GUCUGUUUGGAGUUGUAAACAGUCUAGCCUGCCCACUGAUUAAUAAUUAAAGGGCCGCGGUAUUUUGACCGUGCAAAGGUAGCAUAAUCGUUAGUUUCUUAAUUGGGAUCUUGUAUGAAUGGUUGGACAAAAGAAGAUCUGUCUUUAUAAUAAUGGUUGAAUUUAACUUUUAAGUGAAAAGGCUUAAAUGGAUUAAAGGGACGAUAAGACCCUAUAAAGCUUAAUAUUCUUGAAUAGUAGGCUUAAUUUUGAAUUUAUAAAAGUCUAUUAUAAAAUUUUUAUUGUGUUGGGGCGACAGAAGUAAAAUGGUUAGUAACUGCUUUAGUUUAAGACAAAUUAUUGUUGAGUAAAAGUAGUAAAGGAUCCUUAGUAAGGAUUAAAAGGUUAAGUUACUUUAGGGAUAACAGCGUUAUUUUUUUUGAGAGUUCUUAUCGAAAAAAAAGUUUGCGACCUCGAUGUUGAAUUAAAAUUUCUUUGCAAUUGCAGGAGUUGCUAAAGAAGGUCUGUUCGACCUUUAAAUUUUU
rnacentral:rRNA from 1 species